rnacentral:rRNA from 1 species
GAUGAACGCUGGCGGCGUGCUUAACACAUGCAAGUCGAACGAGAUCCUUCGGGAUUUAGUGGCGGACGGGUGAGUAACGCGUGAGGAUCUGCCUAAAGGACCGGGACAACAGCGGGAAACUGCUGCUAAAACCGGAUGUGCCGAGAGGUGAAAUAUUAAUAGCCUUUAGAUGAGCUCGCGUCUGAUUAGCUAGUUGGUGGUGUAAGGGACUACCAAGGCGACGAUCAGUAGCUGGUCUGAGAGGACGAUCAGCCACACUGGGACUGAGACACGGCCCAG